rnacentral:rRNA from 1 species
GUCGUCAGGACGAACGCUGGCGGCGUGCCUAACACAUGCAAGUCGAGCGGAGAAUGCGGGUAUGUUACAUGGAAGUAUUCUUAGCGGCGGACGGGUGAGUAACACGUGGGUAACCUGCCUCAAAGAGGGGGGAUAGCCUUCCGAAAGGAAGAUUAAUACCGCAUAAGCCUGCAGUACCGCAUGGUACAGCAGGAAAAGGAGCAAUCCGCUUUGAGAUGGACCCGCGGCGCAUUAGCUAGUUGGUGAGGUAACGGCUCACCAAGGCGACGAUGCGUAGCCGACCUGAGAGGGUGAUCGGCCACAUUGGAACUGAGACACGGUCCAGACUCCUACGGGAGGCAGCAGUGGGGAAUAUUGCACAAUGGGCGAAAGCCUGAUGCAGCAAACCGCCGCGUGAAUGAUGAAGGCCUUCGGGUCGUAAAGUUCUUUGAUCAGGGAUGAUAAUGACAGUACCUGAAAAACAAGCCACGGCUAACUACGUGCCAGCAGCAGC